UACGGGGGGGGCAAGCGUUGUUCGGAAUUACUGGGCGUAAAGGGCUCGUAGGCGGCCAACUAAGUCAGACGUGAAAUCCCUCGGCUUAACCGGGGAACUGCAUCUGAUACUGGAUGGCUUGAGUUCGGGAGAGGGAUGCGGAAUUCCAGGUGUAGCGGUGAAAUGCGUAGAUAUCGGGAGGAACACCUGUGGCGAAGGCGACCCCCUGGUUGGAUACUGACGCUGAGACGCGAAAGCGUGGGGAGCAAACAGG
rnacentral:rRNA from 1 species